UAAUUUUUUUAUGUGAACACUGUACAUUCACUACAGUCUGCAGAAUCGUUUAGUGUUGCAAAAUCUUCUAACAGAUUACUACUUCUUAAUCAUCUUUCUGUUUUUCUUCUGAUUUUUGCUUGUAUUUCACUCUUGAAUUUUGAUCCACCACUGCCUUUUGCGGAGCUGCUUGAUUUUUCUAUUUCGAUUAUAAUUCCUCAUUUUUUUAUUGUUCUGCAACCAAUCGGAAUCGGUUAAUCUUGCUGAUUUUAGGGUAAUCAUCCUUUUUUUUUAUAAAAAACGCUGUAUGAUUUUGGUUGGAUUAUGCUUUUACUUUUACCUCAUGGAUUGUUCUGUUUAGAUUGGGGGUUUUGAAUAUAUUGAUCAGUUUAUGCGUUUUGUAUUCGAAUCUGACACUUUAAUGAUUGAUUUUGUUUCUGGAAUUCAUGUGUUUUGAUGCAUAUUUCUUUUUAUUUGAUACUGAGGUGAAGAAUUUGAGGUUGUUAUUCCUGCUAUUGAUUCAAUUACUUAGUGUUCUUAAUAAAUUGCAGCCUUUUAAAUUGUGAAUUAAGUUUUUUGGUCUAGAAAUUGUGUAGUUGAAUGGAUGAAUUAGUCGGGCCUCGUCUCUACAGCUGCUACAAAUGCCGGAAUCACGUCUGUCUACACGAUGACAUAAUCUCGAAGGCAUUUCAGGGAAGACACGGACGAGCCUUUCUGAUCUCCCUCGCCAUGAACAUUGCUGUCGGGCCCAAAGAGGACAGAAAUCUCAUGACUGGUCUCAACACAGUUGCUGAUAUCUCGUGUGCAGACUGCAGCGAAGUGCUGGGGUGGAAAUACGAACGGGCUUGAAAUCACGCGUCACAGCUAUACAAGGAGGGUAAAUUCAUAUUCGAGAAAUCGAAGAUUGUGAAGGAGAACUGGUGGUAGCCCUACUUAGUAAGCUUGAUUGAUACUUACAUAAAUGUGCCUGAAAAACUCACAUGAAUUCAUUCCGAACAUAUAGCUUUAUUUGUUUAUAAACAUGUUGUCUUUGUGAUAAUAUUACAAUUCAUUUGAUUUAUAAUAAGAACAGACUUUAAGCUUCGAGUCA